UUUUGGCCCCGCCGCCGCCCGCGGGGUCGAGGUUCUGAUGGUAGGGGGAAGAGUUUACAGAGUGGAGGGGGCCAUCGUCGUCGUCGGAGAAAUCUGAAUCAGAUAGGUCCAGGUGCAGGUGGGAGCCGGAGUUGGAUCGGGAGAGGUGGUGGCCGCCGGCGGCGACUGGUGCCGGAGGAGCGGGAGAAGGAGAGAGGGGAGGCAUGGGAUCCCCCUUCCUCUGGGUGGGGAGGGUGAGGAUCGGAGAGGGAUGAGAGAGAAAGUGCUGCUCGUCGAAGAAUUUAUGGAGGGACUCGCCGACGAGGCGCAGAGACCGUAGAUACUCCGCGUGGGCGUCGGCGAGGUC
rnacentral:lncRNA from 1 species